AACGCACAUUGCGCCCGCCAGCAUUCUGGCGGGCAUGCCUGUUCGAGCGUCAUUUCAACCCUCGAGCCCGACUUUUCGAAGGACGGCUCGGCGUUGGGGGACGGCAGACUCCCCCCGGCAUCUCGCCGGGGACGCCGCCCCCGAAAUUUAGUGGCGGCCCUCCGAGGCGACCUCUGCGUAGUAACUUGUUCUCGCACCGGAAAGCUCAGAGCGGCCACGCCGUAAAACCCCAACUUUUUUUAGGUUGACCUCGAAUCAGGUAGGACUACCCGCUGAACUUAA
rnacentral:misc_RNA from 1 species